GCCGAAGUGGCGGAAUCGGUAGACGCAGGGGACUCAAAAUCCCCCGGGCUUCGGCCCUUGUGGGUUCGAAUCCCACCUUCGGCA
rnacentral:tRNA from 1 species